UAGGGAAUCUUCCACAAUGGACGCAAGUCUGAUGGAGCAACGCCGCGUGAGUGAAGAAGGGUUUCGGCUCGUAAAGCUCUGUUGUUAAAGAAGAACGUGGGUAAGAGUAACUGCUUACCCAGUGACGGUAUUUAACCGGAAAGCCACGGCUAACUACGUGCUAG
rnacentral:rRNA from 1 species